rnacentral:rRNA from 1 species
AGAGUUUGAUCAUGGCUCAGAUUGAACGCUGGCGGCAUGCCUAACACAUGCAAGUCGAACGGUAACAGGCCGCAAGGUGCUGACGAGUGGCGGACGGGUGAGUAAUACGUAGGUAUCUGCCCUGUAGUGGGGGAUAACCCGGGGAAACUCGGGCUAAUACCGCAUACGCUCUUUUAUCGUUGAGAUAGGAGAGGAAAGCGAGGGACCGAAAGGCCUCGCGCUAGAGGAUGAGCCUACGCCCGAUUAGCUAGUUGGUAGGGUAAAAGCCUACCAAGGCGACGAUCGGUAGCUGGUCUGAGAGGAUGGCCAGCCACACUGGGACUGAGACACGGCCCAGACUCCUACGGGAGGCAGCAGUGGGGAAUAUUGGACAAUGGGGGAAACCCUGAUCCAGCGAUGCCGCGUGGGUGAAGAAGGCCUGCGGGUUGUAAAGCCCUUUCAGUGGGGAAGAAAAACGGGGUGUGAAAAGCGCUUCGUCUUGACGUUACCCACAGAAGAAGCACCGGCUAACUCCGUGCCAGCAGCCGCGGUAAUACGGAGGGUGCGAGCGUUAAUCGGAAUUACUGGGCGUAAAGGGCGCGUAGGCGGUUAGGUAAGUCGAGUGUGAAAGCCCUGGGCUUAACCUGGGAAUGGCAUUCGAGACUACCUAUCUAGAGUCUGGUAGAGGGAAGUGGAAUUUCCGGUGUAGCGGUGAAAUGUGUAGAUAUCGGAAGGAACACCAGUGGCGAAGGCGACUUCCUGGACCAAGACUGACGCUGAGGCGCGAAAGCGUGGGGAUCAAACAGGAUUAGAUACCCCUGUAGUCC